GCAUGACUUGAUUAUGAAAGAUUUAUCGCUUAUGGAUGGACUCGCGUCAGAUUAGAUAGUUGGUGAGGUAACGGCUCACCAAGUCAACGAUCUGUAGCCGAACUGAGAGGUUGAUCGGCCGCAUUGGGACUGAGACACGGCCCAGACUCCUACGGGAGGCAGCAGUGGGGAAUAUUGCGCAAUGGGGGCAACCCUGACGCAGCAACGCCGCGUGCAGGAAGAAGGUCUUCGGAUUGUAAACUGUUGUCGCAAGGGAAGAAGACAGUGACGGUACCUUGUGAGAAAGUCACGGCUAACUACGUGCCAGCAGCCGCGGUAAUACGUAGGUGACAAGCGUUGUCCGGAUUUACUGGGUGUAAAGGGCGCGUAGGCGGACUGUCAAGUCAGUCGUGAAAUACCGGGGCUUAACCCCGGGGCUGCGAUUGAAACUGACAGCCUUGAGUAUCGGAGAGGAAAGCGGAAUUCCUAGUGUAGCGGUGAAAUGCGUAGAUAUUAGGAGGAACACCAGUGGCGAAGGCGGCUUUCUGGACGACAACUGACGCUGAGGCGCGAAAGUGUGGGGAGCAAACAGGAUUAGAUACCCUGGUAGUCCACGCCGUAAACGAUGGAUACUAGGUGU
rnacentral:rRNA from 1 species